CUCCCCCUCUUUUUUAAUGGUCACAUAAAUUGAAUAAACACCAUAAUUUACUAUAGAUAAUACUGCAAUUUUUGCACAAUAAUAUUACUUUAUUUAUUUCUACCAAUUCUACUCGGAGGUGUAGUCGUCGUUGUCAACAUCAUCCUCUAUCAUGAGUUUUGAUCCAAAUGAGGCUGCAAAUUAUAAACUGGAUUAUUCAGAUGUGGAUGAUAAGCUGGUGGAAGUUGGGAGUGAUAUCUGUAUGUCUGAUGGGGGGGAGAUGGUAAAUUUUUACGACGAAAAGGACUUUUCGUCGCAAGAACUGUGUUUGAACGUGGAAGCACCGCGCGUUGGGAUGGAGUUCGAAUCAGAGGAGUCUGCCAUGGCAUAUUAUGAUGCAUAUGCCAAGCGCGUAGGCUUCAUCAUCCGCAUAGGCAACUGCCAUCGCUCGAGCCUCAAUGGCUCGGUUAUUAGCCGGAGGUUUGUCUGCAACAAGGAGGGUUUUCGUGUGAAGAGUAGCAAGGUGAAGAGGGUUGAAGUUAGGAAGCCGAGGGCCGUCACAAGGGAAGGUUGUAAGGCGAUGGUCAUGAUUAGGAAGGAGGAUUCCGGGGCGUGGAUUAUUGCAAAGCUCGAAACGCAGCACAGUCACCCUUUGGGGGUGUCUCCGGGGAAGCCCCAUCGUGGUCCUCUCCGAGUACAGUCACAGGACGAGAAGGACAAGAGAAUCCGCGAGCUAUCCACUGAGCUUCACCGCACCAAACAGAAGCUGGCGGAAUGCCAGAAACAGCUCAGUGCCAUCUUGAGCGAUGUAGAGCUCCACGUGGAUCACCUCACCAGAAGCGUCCAACACCUUGUUCAAAACGUCAAAGAAAUCGAGAGAUGAGAAACGAGAAACGAGCAACGAACCUCCUUGGUUCGUUCAAUUUGGUUUGUAUAUCUUUGAAGCUAUGGUUCUUUUUCUUCCCUUCCCGGGCCAGUAGUAGCUAGCAUGUACAUAUGCACGAGAGAACAGAUCUACGAGUUUUUAUAAAAUGUAGAUUUUCUUCUCAUGUUGAGCCACGUCUUCGAGUUACUUGCUUCUAUAUAUAUUUCAAUGCACAUGGAAACACUAUAUAUAUGCAUUAUGCAGGCAUUGGAGUGGCAAUGAAUCGAGGUGAGUUGGAAUGUCUCUAUUUUCAAACAUGUGUAGUUAUUAUCCAAUGUUCUCUAAAUAUCUCAUUUAGAGGAUGGUUACAGUCGUCUCAUUUGUAGUGUUUACAUGGAUAGGUCUCUCUCUCUCUCUCCAUCACACCUGUGUUCAUGUUCACACAUUUGUAGUUGGUGAGGCUUCUAACUAUUGAAAAUCUUUUACAUGGAUCUCUCUCUCUCUCUCUCUCUCUCCAUCACACUUGUUUUCAUAAUCACACAUUUGUAGUUGGUGAGGCUUCUAACUAGUGAAUAUGAUCUCUUACAUGGAUAGGUCUCCCUCUCUCUCUCACACGCGCACACACACACACUUGUUUUCAUAAUCACACAUUUGUAGUUGGUGAGGCUUCUAACUAGUGAAUAUGAUCUCUUACAUAGCUAGGUCUCUCUCUCUCUCUCUCUCUCUCUCUCUCUCUCUCUCUCUCUCUCAUUCAAUGUUUUAUACUAGAACUAGCAUAGCACACACAAUUCAUUAACUUCACUUCAAUAAAUUGUUAGGAAUUGAAUAAUCGUUAUAAAUUGCACAAUACUUAGUAAUUAAUAUAAAAAACGUUUGAAAAACCAAUCUUUUCAUGAUUAAUAUAAAAUCAAAGAUAAACUUUUAACUAAUGUAGAAAUGAAAGAAAAAAUCAUAUAAACUUAUGAGUGUUAGUGUAAAGAUUGAGCAAUACUCUUUUGCCCUUUAUGUGUUGGAUGAAAUGCUUAGGAUGGGUGUCGCUGUUGAUGUUUACACGAUGACUAUUGCUCUCAACUGUUGUUGUCUCUUGAAAGAUAUAAACUCUGGUGUUGCUAUAAUGGGAUUCUUUUUUAAGAUUGGUUACGAACCGAAUGUCGCGACUAUUGCCACUCUCAUUAAAGGGUUUUUUAUAAAUGAUAAGGAGUCCGAAGCUGUGAAAUUGUUUGAAAAGGUUCUGGAUUUAAAACUUUGCGAGCCAGACGGUGUUAUGAUUCUGCACGUGAUAAAUGGACUGUGCAAAGCUCGACAGGUCAUGGCAGCCCAUGAAUGGCUUCUUAGAUUAAAAAGUAGUGGCUUCAGAGCCAAUGUUUGGAGUUAUAGUGCGUUAAUUGACGGAUUCUGCAAAGAAGGAAAUAUGGAAGAGGCCGUGAACGUGUUGAAAAGUAUGACACGACAAAAUAUUUGUCCCGAUGUCGUCACUUUCAAGUUUCAACAUAUUGAUUGAUGCAUAUAGUAAAGAAGGAAAGAUGGAAGCAGCUGAGAAGAUGUUGGAAAUUAUGACGCAACAAAAUGUUUGUUGGAAGCGGCAAAGAAGAUGUUUGAAACUAUGACGCAACAUAAUAUUUGUCCCGACUUGUAUACUUAUACUAUAUGAUUGGAUGAGCUGUCCAAGCGUGGGAUGGUUGAUGAAGUUCGGCAUUUGCUGUCCGAGAUGGUGGCGUCUCGCCUGAUGUUGCCACAUGCAACACAUUGAUAGAUGGAUAUUGCUCACAGGCCGAGAUGAUUAGAGCCAGAGAGCUCUUCGAUUCAAUGGCAAAGACGGGGAUCGAGCACAAUGUAGUCACCUAUAAUAUCAUGAUUAAGGGAUACUGCAAGGCGGGAAACCUUGAUGAAGCAUGGUGUUUCUUUGAUGAAAUCUCACAUGUAAGGACUCGAGCACUCCACCGUAUCGUACAACACGAUGAUGCAUGGGUUAAUACGCCUAAGUAGUUUUUUAGACGGGUGGAAGCUUUUCGAGUAUAUGGAAGCUCAGAAGCUGCAUCAGAACCUCCACACCUACACCAUCUUGUUGGAUGGCUUGUGUAGGAUCCGUUGGAUUAAUGAGGCGUUUGUGUAUUUUAGGGUUAUGGAGGCUAAAGGGGUGAAUCCUAAUAUUGUAAUGUAUGGUGUUAUGAUCAACGGCUUGUGCAAGGGCAGAAGACUUGAUGAUGCUAUAAGGCUCUUCAACCAUCUCCUUUCCAAGGGCUUAAAUCCAGAUGUGGUAGUCUACAGCAUGAUGCUUGAUUCCCUCUACCGUGAAGGGCGUGAAGGGGAGGCGAAGAGGUUGAUGGAGGAGAUGGAGAGAAGAGGAUGCGCGCCUAAUGGCGUGACGUUCAACAUUAUUGUGUGGAAUAUGGUGAAGAGCAAUAAGAUGCAUGAGGCGAUUCCUUUCUUGGAGGAGAUGUGCAGGACAGGAUUCAAGGUUUCUUCGGAGAUCAUAUCUGUUUUGCUUCAGGAACUAAGAAUAGGAGAAGAAAAAGAUGAGAAAUUGCAAGAGAUUAUUAAGAAAGUUUGUGCUCAAAAUUGACCAGUGAAUGCUCUAUAUUGGAGUUUGUAUACGUCAUACGUGAGAUCUAACUCCUCGAAUAUAUUGGUGAACAACGAAAGGAGUACUGAAGAUCGCCGACUUUGGGCUUGCUUAUUUCACAAGGCUUCAGUGUCCGGAGCUGCUAACCAGCUGCGCCGUGACUCUUUGGUAUCGGCGAUCUGAGCUCCUCGGCUCCACAAGGCGAGGUGGAUCUCUGGAGUGUGGGGAGGCCCAUUCUCAAGUUUAGUUACAUUGGGGACGACUGUAUGACAGCAGUUGCGUUGUGCAAAAAUAGGAAAUUUGAUGAGGCUGAGGAUGUUUCAUAACCAAUUGUGGAGCAAUUGCAACGGAUGAGUAUUGGAGACGUUGGAGGACGUUGCGGCUGCCUCUGGAAACCGUAUGACAGCACGCUUUGAAAGAGGUGGAGUUGGUCUCAUUUAGUCCCUGCUGCCGCUUCUCUCGAGUCUGAGGUGAAUUAUCCGUAGAGAGGGGUCUCAAUCUACUCUCUGCUUUUCUUUUGUCUCUAACAUUUGGAUAUUUCAAGGGUUGUGCGAUGUUGGUAUAUUGCAAAUGCUUUUGUACGUUUACAAAAAAAGUUGCGGUGAAGGGCUAGUAUUCUUGGAAAUGUUUACGACUUGAAUUGACAUGCCAGACAAUGCUCAACACCUUGGAUGGCAUGAGGGAUGAGACGGGGGCGAGCUUAACUCCUUGGGCAGUCUGGACGAGGGUGUGGACUGCUGAGGAGAAUAUGCACGGAUAUCUGAUCGGGUCGGGAAUGGACUUGAGGACAGAAAACAGCCCGUACCUCGGAUUCAUCUACACAUCCUUCCAAGAAAGGGCUACAUUUGUGUCCCACGGAAACACAGCCCGACAAGCCCGGGAGCACGGGAACAUCAAGCUGGCUCAGAUAUGUGGAGAUGAUUUCUUUCUCAAAUUGAUGACGUACCUUGCUCCCGAGGAUGUUGUAUCAUAGUCCAUUUCUUCUUGAUAUACGAGGUUAGACAGCAAUGUACCAUUCGUCUGAUGCAUUGCCACUGCAGGGAGAGGAUUCGUGCAGCCUUCUCGUAGCUGCAAACCUGAGUUUGAUUCUUUAUAUGCUUGAAAUGGUUUUUUUUAGUUGGUGAGGCGGUUGUGUUGUUCAGCCGUGAUGAACGAGCUGUGCAGGAAGCGGAAGAGUCGAGCUGUUGGUGAUCUUCUUUAAUGGCUCGUGCAGUUUUUGGUUAGAUGGAAUGAGGUGAAAUACUGUUUAUCAGUUGAAAUGGUAGAUCACAAUGUGCCUUUAGUUUUGAUCACUUAUAAUAUAUUGGUAGAUUUGUUGUGCAAAAAUAGGAAAUUUGAUGAGGCUGAGGAAGUUUUUAAGCCUAUUGUGAGAAUGAAAGUUUUUUUUUUUCUUUC